CUAAUACAUGCAAGUCGAGCGGAGAAGCUUCUUCGGAAGUGGAUCAGCGGCGAACGGGUGAGUAACGCGUGGGAAAUCUGCCUUUGAGCGGGGGACAACAGUUAGAAAUGACUGCUAAUACCGCAUAACAAUGAGAGACACAUGUUUCUUAUUUGAAAGAUGCAAAUGCAUCACUCAAAGAUGAUCCCGCGUUGUAUUAGCUAGUUGGUGAGGUAGAGGCUCACCAAGGCGAUGAUACAUAGCCGACCUGAGAGGGUGAUCGGCCACAUUGGGACUGAGACACGGCCCAAACUCCUACGGAGGCAGCAGUAGGGAAUCUUCGGCAAUGGGGGCAACCCUGACCGAGCAACGCGCGUGAGUGAAGAAGGUUUUCGGAUCGUAAAACUCUGUUGUGAGAGAAGAACGGAUAUGAGAGUGGAAAGUUCAUAUCGUGACGGUAUCUCACCAGAAAGGGACGGCUAACUACGUGCCAGCAGCCGCGGUAAUACGUAGGUCCCGAGCGUUGUCCGGAUUUAUUGGGCGUAAAGCGAGCGCAGGUGGUUUCUUAAGUGGGGUGUAAAAGGCAGUGGCUCAACCAUUGUGUGCAUUCCAAACUGGGAGACUUGAGUGCAGGAGAGGAGAGUGGAAUUCCAUGUGUAGCGGUGAAAUGCGUAGAUAUAUGGAGGAACACCGGAGGCGAAAGCGGCUCUCUGGCCUGUAACUGACACUGAGGCUCGAAAGCGUGGGGAGCAAACAGGAUUAGAUACCCUGGUAGUCCACGCCGUAAACGAUGAGUGCUAGCCGUGGGGAGCUAUAAGUUUUCCGUGGCGCAGUAACGCAAUAAGCACUCCGCCUGGGGAGUACGACCGCAAGGUUGAAACUCAAAGGAAUUGACGGGGGCCGCACAAGCGGUGAAGCAUGUGGUUUAAUUCGAAGCAACGCGAAGAACUUACCAGGUCUUGACAUACAAAUGCUAGAUGUAGAGAUACAUUGUUACUUCGGUACAUUGGAUACAGGUGGUGCAUGGUUGUCGUCAGCUCGUGUCGUGAGAUGUUGGGUUAAGUCCCGCAACGAGCGCAACCCCUAUGUUUAGUUGCCAUCAUUAAGUUGGGCACUCUAGACAGACUGCCGGUGAUAAACCGGAGGAAGGUGGGGAUGACGUCAAAUCAUCAUGCCCCUUAUGACCUGGGCUACACACGUGCUACAAUGGAUGGUACAACGAGUCGCCAACCCGCGAGGGUGCGCUAAUCUCUUAAAACCAUUCUCAGUUCGGAUUGUAGGCUGCAACUCGCCUACAUGAAGUCGGAAUCGCUAGUAAUCGCGGAUCAGCACGCCGCGGUGAAUACGUUCCCGGGCCUUGUACACACCGCCCGUCACMCCACGGGAGUUGGGGUGCCCGAAGUCAGUAGCCUAACCUUUUAGGAGGCGCUGCCUAA
rnacentral:rRNA from 1 species